GAUGAACGCUGGCGGCGUGCUUAACACAUGCAAGUCGAACGAAGCGAUAGGAAGGAAGUUUUCGGAUGGAAUUCAUAUUGACUGAGUGGCGGACGGGUGAGUAACGCGUGGGUAACCUGCCUCAUACAGGGGGAUAACAGUUAGAAAUGACUGCUAAUACCGCAUAAGCGCACAGAAUCGCAUGAUAAUGUGUGAAAAACUCCGGUGGUAUGAGAUGGACCCGCGUCUGAUUAGCUAGUUGGUGGGGUAAAGGCCUACCAAGGCGACGAUCAGUAGCCGACCUGAGAGGGUGAUCGGCCACAUUGGGACUGAGACACGGCCCAA
rnacentral:rRNA from 1 species